rnacentral:rRNA from 1 species
AUAUCAAUAAGCGGAGGAAAAGAAACCAACAGGGAUUGCCUCAGUAGCGGCGAGUGAAGCGGCAAAAGCUCAAAUUUGAAAUCUGGCACUUUCAGUGUCCGAGUUGUAAUUUGAAGAAGGUAUCUUUGGGUCUGGCUCUUGUCUAUGUUUCUUGGAACAGAACGUCACAGAGGGUGAGAAUCCCGUGCGAUGAGAUGACCCAGACCUGUGUAAAGUUCCUUCGAAGAGUCGAGUUGUUUGGGAAUGCAGCUCUAAGUGGGUGGUAAAUUCCAUCUAAAGCUAAAUAUUGGCGAGAGACCGAUAGCGAACAAGUACAGUGAUGGAAAGAUGAAAAGAACUUUGAAAAGAGAGUGAAAAAGUACGUGAAAUUGUUGAAAGGGAAGGGCUUGAGAUCAGACUUGGUAUUUUGCAUGUUACUCUCUCGGGGGUGGCCGCUGCAGUUUACCGGGCCAGCAUCAGUUUGGGCGGUAGGAUAAUUGCAGAGAAAUGUGGCACUGCCUCGGUAGUGUGUUAUAGUCUUUGUCGAUACUGCCAGCCUAGACUGAGGACUGCGGCUUCGGCCUAGGAUGUUGGCAUAAUGAUCUUAAGUCG